GACGAACGCUGGCGGCGUGCCUAACACAUGCAAGUCGAGCGGGGAGAGAUUUUCGGAUUUCUCUUUAGCGGCGGACGGGUGAGUAACACGUGGGUAACCUGCCUCAAAGAGGGGGAUAGCCUUCCGAAAGGAAGAUUAAUACCGCAUAAUAUCAGGAAGCUGCAUGGCAUUCUGAUUAAAGGAGCAAUCCGCUUUGAGAUGGACCCGCGGCGCAUUAGCCAGUUGGUGAGGUAACGGCCCACCAAGGCGACGAUGCGUAGCCGACCUGAGAGGGUGAUCGGGAACAUUGGAACGGAGACACGGUCCAGACUCGUACGGGGGGCAGGAGUAGGGAAUAUUGCACAAUGGGGGAAACCCUGAUGCAGCAGCGCCGCGUGAGUGAUGAAGGCCUUCGGGUCGUAAAGCUCUUUGAUCAGGGACGAUAAUGACGGUACCUGAAAAACAAGCCACGGCUAACUACGUGCCAGCAGCCGCGGUAAAAC
rnacentral:rRNA from 1 species